rnacentral:rRNA from 1 species
GUGGGGAAUAUUGGACAAUGGGGGGAACCCUGAUCCAGCCAUGCCGCGUGUGUGAAGAAGGCCUUUUGGUUGUAAAGCACUUUAAGCGAGGAGGAGGCUACCGAGAUUAAUACUCUUGGAUAGUGGACGUUACUCGCAGAAUAAGCACCUGCUAACUCUGUGCCAGCAGCCGCGGUAAUACAGAGGGUGCAAGCGUUAAUCGGAUUUACUGGGCGUAAAGCGCUCGUAGGUGGCCAAUUAAGUCAAAUGUGAAAUCCCCGAGCUUAACUUGGGAAUUGCAUUCGAUACUGGUUGGCUAGAGUAUGGGAGAGGAUGGUAGAAUUCCAGGUGUAGCGGUGAAAUGCGUAGAGAUCUGGAGGAAUACCGAUGGCGAAGGCAGCCAUCUGGCCUAAUACUGACACUGAGGUGCGAAAGCAUGGGGAGCAAACAGGAUUAGAAACCCUUGUAGUCC